rnacentral:misc_RNA from 1 species
CAACCAUCAAGCCCUCGGCUUGUGUUGGGGACCUGCGGCUGCCGCAGGCCCUAAAAAACAGUGGCGGGCUCGCUGUCACACCGAGCGUAGUAGUAUUAUCUCGCUCUGGGCGUGCUGCGGGUUCCGGCCGUUAAACCACCUUAUAACCCAA